CUAAAAAAACGAUCUGGGAAAAAUUGUAGUUUUACAGAACUAUUUGUUUUUUUUGUUGUAGGGUGCAAAGGAUAUAUGUAAAUAAGUGUAGGUCUCAGUGCCAUAUCAUGUAAUUAAGACUGAAAUGUAUUAAUCUUUAAGGAAAGCGAAUUAGGUAAAUUUUACAUCAGUAAAAAAUUUGAAACAGGUGAAAGUAUGAAAACAUGUUAAUAGAGCUUCAAACUUUUAUGCUGUGUUUUUGUAUCAGUCUUGAAAAAACUACAGAUUGGUAUCUGUCCUCCUCUGCAGGUGAUAGGUGGGAAUAUUUCAGAGGAUGAAUGUGAUCAAGCAGCUAACCAUGGUUUUGUUCUGAUGAGAUUAGUUAGCAAAUUUAGUAGAUAAACUAAACAUUUUCCUGUUACUUAAAAUACUUACUCAACUUGUAAAGAGUUUUGUCAAACUAAGACUUUGGAAACGCUUUUUAAAAACACUCAGUUUUGUACCUUUGAACAAGUGUAGCAAAAUUAAUAGGUGAAACUAUAUGCAAAUUUUUAUAGAUCUUUGCUUAAUUCAGGUAAUAUCAGCCUAAUAUAUUUCUUUUGGUUAAUUAUAGCUUGCUACAAUUGGCAUUGCACAACUUAACUCCAAAUGUAUAAACUUUUCUGUUAACCUGGCAUCUGUGGGAAAUGGCUGCUUUAGUAAUCCAUUAAUGGAAAGUUACCAUCUGUAGUAGAUAUUUUGAGAAUUCACAUGGAACAAACAACAGACUACUAAGCCCAUACUUUGUAUUUCUUUCUUUCUGUAUUUCAUAAUCACAAUACUAAUGAAUUAUUCUCGUGUGUCAGGUAAAAUUUUAAGUAUUACCUUUUUCAAUCUUCCUAAGAGCACAAUGAGGUAGUUAUUAUUACUACUUUUGUUUUCUGGAUGAAAAGACUGGGACACAGAAAAGUUAAGUGACUUGCAUUGUAUCACAUUGAGAAGGGGCAGAGCUGAAUUCAAGUUCAUUCUCUGAACACUUACACUAUACCAGCACUCUGUAAAGAUACAUAUAACCCAAUAUUAUUUAAAAACUCAAAGCAACUUAGUUUAUCCUAUCUUUUGUAACUAUAGGAUGGUUUCAAAUAGAAAGAAAAUCUAUUUUAAAGCCUGCAAAGUACAUCUCCAGAUAUGCUUAUUGGCCUCUGUCUGAUAAUGCUUCUUCCAACUCUUAGUGUUUUCCAAGCUAUAUCCUGCACGUAUCCUCACUAAUAAAAGGGCUUUCUUCUUUAACAAAGUCUAUUGCUUAAAAAAUUCUGCAAUCUCAUCUCUCCCAGAAAACCUCCAAGUGAUAAAAGUGGAGUGUUGAUUUUGACCUGCUCUGAGACAUGCAAAGAUUACUUUUUACUCACUUAUGUCAAGUUUUUGAAUUGCUACAUUUUAAAUUAAUAUACAUAUUUGUUUAGAUAUAAGUUUAGUCUAUUUUUGAUGUUUUGUUUUAGAAAAAUUUGAAUGUCUUAGGUUACAGGGGCAUAGAUGUUAUAGGCUUUGCAGUUUAAUUACCUUGAACUUUACUUAGCACCACAUUAAUACAACGAGGUGCUUAAUCUUUUCUGUAAUUAUGAUUAUAGAAGAUCAAAAUAAAACUAGAAUUACAAUGUUCUUUUCUUAUAUAAGCUAAUGAUUUAAGUUGGUAAGAUGUCAUUUCUACUAAUUAGACAAAAAUAAUUUAUAGUUAGAUCAACCAUCUCUAGUACCAGAAUAUACAGGAUACCUAUAAAAGAAAGAGAAGUGAAAAGUUCAUUCCUUGACUUAGGGAACAUUUUAUUUAAUUUUUGUCCUUAAAAUAAUUUUUAUAAGUUUUUCUGUAGCUCUCAACUUUUAUUUCCAUGAGAACCAAAAAUAAAUAUCAUCCUAUUAGAAAAAAGAAUAAAUCCUGAUCCAUUCUAAUAAAAUAAUGUUUUUGUAGAAUUUUCUUAUAUUUGGUAACACUUAACUACUGAAAAUCAAGCUGAUGCAGAGUUUUUUUCAAUGAUAAGUGAUUCAAUGUUUUAGGGUGUGACAGUUUGAUUACUUUUCUCAGAGGAAGUAAUCAAAACAAAAUUAAUUUUCUUGAUAAAAAGAACAGCUACUUCAUUUAUUCAUUUAUUUUAAAGA